rnacentral:lncRNA from 1 species
GGGUCAUUGUUGUGGUGUCAUGGCCGCUGUUGAGGUGUCAUGGCUGCCCUGGUCGUUGUUGGGGUGUCAUGGCCGCCAUCGGGGUGUCAUGGCCGCCGUCGGGGUGUCAUGGCCGCCGGGGUUAUCCUUGGGGUGUCAUGGCCGCCGUGGUCAUCGCUGGGGUGUCAUGGCUGCCUUGGUGGUGUCAGCGCUGCCUUUGGGGUUGUCACGGUGAGCACCACGAUGACGUCACGCCAACCACGAUGACGUCACGCCAACCUCAUUGACCUCUCACCAACCACGGUGAUGACCAUGGUGACCACCACGAUGACCUCACACCAACCACGAUGACCCAACGCCAAUUAGGAUGACCUCUUGCCAACCAUGGUGAUGACCACGAUGACCCAACGCCAAUGACCUCUUGCCAACUGCGUUGACUUCUCACCAACAUCGCUGACCUCUUGCCAACCACGGUGAUGACCACGGUGAUGACCAUGACGACCUCUUGCCAACCAAGAUGACCCAACACCAACAACGAUGACCUCUUGCCAACCAUGAUGACGACCCCACGCCAACCACGUUGACUUUUUGCCAACUAAGAGGACCUCUUGCCAACCACGGUGAUGACCUCUUGCCAACCACGUUGACUUCAUGCCAACCACAUUGAUGACCUCUUCCCAACACCAAUGACGCACCACCAACGCCGAUGACCUCUUGCCAACCGCUUUGACUUCUCACCAACAUCAUUGACCUCUUCCAACCAUGGUGAUGACCAUGGCAAUGACCAUGACGACCUCUCACCAACCACGAUGACCCAACACCAACCACGAUGACUUCUCACCAACAUCGUUGACCUCUUCCAACCAUGGUGAUGACCACGGCGAUCAUCACGAUGACCUCACACCAACAACGAUGACCCAACGCCAACCACGUUGACCUCUUGCCAACCGCGUUGACUUCUCCCCAACGCCGCUGCCUCCUCGCCCACCAGGCCCACCAGAAGGCCCACCAGAAGGCCCACCAGAAGGCCCACCAGAAGGCCCACCAGAAGGCCCACCAGAAGGCCCACCAGAAGGCCCACCAGAAGGCCCACCGCCAGGCCCACCACCAGGCCCACCACCAGGCCCACCAGAAGGCCCACCACCGGGCCCACCAGGCGGUGGCCUAGUUGAGCGUGCCGCGGCAGCUCUCGGUGCGGCACAGGCAGGGGAUUUUGGUGUCCUCGAUGGGGAACUUGUAGUCGUAGGUGAUCUCCUCGUUGACCCCGAUGGGCUGCUUCGAGUAGAUGACGAUCUUCUUCUGCGCCUCGAUGGUGAUCACCUUGGCGUAGCAGUUGGGCUGCGGUGGUGGGAGGGGGACGCCAGGGGGUCACGGGGGUGGAA